rnacentral:rRNA from 1 species
CGAGUUUGAUCCUGGCUCAGGAUGAACGCUAGCGGCAGGCCUAACACAUGCAAGUCGAGGGGUAACAGGAGAGCUUGCUCUCGCUGACGACCGGCGCACGGGUGCGUAACGCGUAUACUAAUUUACCUUAUACUGGAGGAUAGCCCGGAGAAAUCCGGAUUAAUACUCCAUAACAUUACAGAAUCGCAUGAUUCCAUAAUUAAAGUUUCGGCGGUAUAAGAUGAGUAUGCGUCCUAUUAGUUAGUUGGUAAGGUAACGGCUUACCAAGACAGCGAUAGGUAGGGGGCCUGAGAGGGUUAUCCCCCACACUGGUACUGAGACACGGACCAGACUCCUACGGGAGGCAGCAGUGAGGAAUAUUGGACAAUGGAGGCAACUCUGAUCCAGCCAUCCCGCGUGCAGGAUUAAGGCCCUCUGGGUUGUAAACUGCUUUUAUUAGAGAAGAAAACCUCAGAUUUAUCUGAACUUGACGGUAUCUAAUGAAUAAGCACCGGCUAACUCCGUG